rnacentral:rRNA from 1 species
UACAGAGGUCCCAAGCGUUGUUCGGAUUCACUGGGCGUAAAGGGUGCGUAGGUGGGUCUGUAAGUCUGUGGUGAAAUCUCUGAGCUUAACUCGGAAACUGCCAUGGAUACUAUAGAUCUUGAAUACCGUGGAGGAUAGCGGAAUAUGUCAUGUAGCGGUGAAAUGCUUAGAUAUGACAUAGAACACCAAUUGCGAAGGCAGCUGUCUACCCGAAUAUUGACACUGAGGCACGAAAGCGUGGGGAUCAAACAGG